AACCAGUACCGUGAGGGAAAGGUGAAAAGCACCCCGGAAGGGGAGUGAAAUAGAACCUGAAACCGUGUGCUUACAAGUAGUCAGAGCCCGUUAAUGGGUGAUGGCGUGCCUUUUGUAGAAUGAACCGGCGAGUUACGAUUUGAUGCAAGGUUAAGCAGUAAAUGUGGAGCCGUAGCGAAAGCGAGUCUGAAUAGGGCGUUUAGUAUUUGGUCGUAGACCCGAAACCAGGUGAUCUACCCUUGGUCAGGUUGAAGUUCAGGUAACACUGAAUGGAGGACCGAACCGACUUACGUUGAAAAGUGAGCGGAUGAACUGAGGGUAGCGGAGAAAUUCCAAUCGAACCUGGAGAUAGCUGGUUCUCUCCGAAAUAGCUUUAGGGCUAGCCUCAAGUGAUGAUUAUUGGAGGUAGAGCACUGUUUGGACGAGGGGCCCCUCUCGGGUUACCGAAUUCAGACAAACUCCGAAUGCCAAUUAAUUUAACUUGGGAGUCAGAACAUGGGUGAUAAGGUCCGUGUUCGAAAGGGAAACAGCCCAGACCACCAGCUAAGGUCCCAAAAUAUAUGUUAAGUGGAAAAGGAUGUGGCGUUGCCCAGACAACUAGGAUGUUGGCUUAGAAGCAGCCAUCAUUUAAAGAGUGCGUAAUAGCUCACUAGUCGAGUGACACUGCGCCGAAAAUGUACCGGGGCUAAACAUAUUACCGAAGCUGUGGAUUGUCCUUUGGACAAUGGUAGGAGAGCGUUCUAAGGGCGUUGAAGCAUGAUCGUAAGGACAUGUGGAGCGCUUAGAAG
rnacentral:rRNA from 1 species